CAAGUCGAGCGGUAGCACAGAGAGCUUGCUCUCGGGUGACGAGCGGCGGACGGGUGAGUAAUGUCUGGGAAACUGCCUGAUGGAGGGGGAUAACUACUGGAAACGGUAGCUAAUACCGCAUAACGUCGCAAGACCAAAGUGGGGGACCUUCGGGCCUCAUGCCAUCAGAUGUGCCCAGAUGGGAUUAGCUGGUAGGUGGGGUAACGGCUCACCUAGGCGACGAUCCCUAGCUGGUCUGAGAGGAUGACCAGCCACACUGGAACUGAGACACGGUCCAGACUCCUACGGGAGGCAGCAGUGGGGAAUAUUGCACAAUGGGCGCAAGCCUGAUGCAGCCAUGCCGCGUGUGUGAAGAAGGCCUUCGGGUUGUAAAGCACUUUCAGCGGGGAGGAAGGCGAUAAGGUUAAUAACCUUGUCGAUUGACGUUACCCGCAGAAGAAGCACCGGCUAACUCCGUGCCAGCAGCCGCGGUAAUACGGAGGGUGCAAGCGUUAAUCGGAAUUACUGGGCGUAAAGCGCACGCAGGCGGUCUGUCAAGUCGGAUGUGAAAUCCCCGGGCUCAACCUGGGAACUGCAUUCGAAACUGGCAGGCUAGAGUCUUGUAGAGGGGGGUAGAAUUCCAGGUGUAGCGGUGAAAUGCGUAGAGAUCUGGAGGAAUACCGGU
rnacentral:rRNA from 1 species